UACGUAGGGGGCAAGCGUUGUCCGGAUUUAUUGGGCGUAAAGAGCUUGUAGGCGGUUUGUCGCGUCUGCUGUGAAAAUCCGGGGCUCAACCCCGGACUUGCAGUGGGUACGGGCAGACUAGAGUGUGGUAGGGGAGACUGGAAUUCCUGGUGUAGCGGUGAAAUGCGCAGAUAUCAGGAGGAACACCGGUGGCGAAGGCAGGUCUCUGGGCCGCUACUGACGCUGAGAAGCGAAAGCAUGGGGAGCAAACAGG
rnacentral:rRNA from 1 species